UACGUAGGUGGCAAGCGUUAUCCGGAAUUAUUGGGCGUAAAGCGCGCGCAGGCGGUUUCUUAAGUCUGAUGUGAAAGCCCACGGCUCAACCGUGGAGGGUCAUUGGAAACUGGGAGACUUGAGUGCAGAAGAGGAUAGUGGAAUUCCAUGUGUAGCGGUGAAAUGCGUAGAGAUAUGGAGGAACACCAGUGGCGAAGGCGACUUUCUGGUCUGUAACUGACGCUGAGGCGCGAAAGCGUGGGGAGCAAACAGG
rnacentral:rRNA from 1 species